rnacentral:rRNA from 1 species
GUGGGGAAUCUUCCGCAAUGGACGAAAGUCUGACGGAGCAACGCCGCGUGAGUGAAGAAGGUUUUCGGAUCGUAAAGCUCUUUCGUUAGGGACGAACGUGCUCUUUGUGAAUAAUGAGGAGUAAUGACGGUACCUAAAUAAGAAGCCACGGCUAACUACGUGCCAGCAGCCGCGGUAAUACGUAGGUGGCAAGCGUUGUCCGGAAUUAUUGGGCGUAAAGCGCGCGCAGGCGGGAUAUCAAGUCUGUCUUAAAAGUGCGAGGCUCAACCUCGUGAGGGGACAGAAACUGGUAUUCUUGAGUGUCGGAGAGGAAAGUGGAAUUCCAAGUGUAGCGGUGAAAUGCGCAGAGAUUUGGAAGAACACCAGUGGCGAAGGCGACUUUCUGGACGAUGUCUGACGCUGAGGCGCGAAAGCUAGGGGAGCGAACGGGAUUAGAUACCCUUGUAGUCC